rnacentral:rRNA from 1 species
CAUGCAAGUCGAACGAGAGAGAGGGAGCUUGCUUCCUCAAUCGAGUGGCGAACGGGUGAGUAACGCGUGAGGAACCUGCCUCAAAGAGGGGGACAACAGUUGGAAACGACUGCUAAUACCGCAUAAGCCCACGGGUCGGCAUCGACCAAGGGGAAAAGGAGCAAUCCGCUUUGAGAUGGCCUCGCGUCCGAUUAGCUAGUUGGUGAGGUAAUGGCCCACCAAGGCAACGAUCGGUAGCCGGACUGAGAGGUUGAACGGCCACAUUGGGACUGAGACACGGCCCAGACUCCUACGGGAGGCAGCAGUGGGGAAUAUUGCACAAUGGGGGAAACCCUGAUGCAGCGACGCCGCGUGGAGGAAGAAGGUCUUCGGAUUGUAAACUCCUGUUGUUGAGGAAGAUAAUGACGGUACUCAACAAGGAAGUGACGGCUAACUACGUGCCAGCAGCCGCGGUAAAACGUAGGUCACAAGCGUUGUCCGGAAUUACUGGGUGUAAAGGGAGCGCAGGCGGGAAGACAAGUUGGAAGUGAAAUCUAUGGGCUCAACCCAUAAACUGCUUUCAAAACUGUUUUUCUUGAGUAGUGCAGAGGUAGGCGGAAUUCCCGGUGUAGCGGUGGAAUGCGUAGAUAUCGGGAGGAACACCAGUGGCGAAGGCGGCCUACUGGGCACCAACUGACGCUGAGGCUCGAAAGUGUGGGUAGCAAACAGGAUUAGAUACCCUGGUAGUCCACACUGUAAACGAUGAUUACUAGGUGUUGGAGGAUUGACCCCUUCAGUGCCGCAGUUAACACAAUAAGUAAUCCACCUGG